AAAAAUAUUUCCAUUUUAGGUGCCCCUUUGGGGAGAAUAGGGAAGUUCGGUACAAAACCGACGCGGACCCACCACUGUACUCGAUGAGCUUCGUCAACCACUGGUUUAGCUGGGAAGGUGACGAGUUAUGCAAUGAUUCGAUAGCCAGGAGACCUGCCUAAGAUGUUACGUCUUU
rnacentral:ncRNA from 2 species